GUGGCUACUCUGAAUCCCCUCCGGCCCAAGUCCCCACAUCAAGGCUCACCUGCAAGGUUAAGGAAAGGGGGUGAGUUUGGAAACUCAGUGUGCAACAAGCCCCUUUCAGAGCCCAAAUCAAUAACAGCCUGUUGGGUCUAAGCCCAAAACCAAUCUCAAACAUGUAUUGGGCCAUAGCCCUUUUCAUAUUUCAUAAUUCAUAACACUGGGCCGAAGCCUUUUCAUAUUUCAUAUUACUAGGCCGAAGCCUUUACUGUAAACGGUAUGGCCCAUAGGCCCAUUUCAAUAUCACAUAUAAUGUCAAUGAAAGAAUGCAAGCCUAUUUGGGGAGACUACUCAACCCACCAUCCGCUACUCUCCACCCGUACCAACCAACACACCAUGUGGGGAUUAACUCGACCCACCCUGCCAUAACUCUCCACUGGCAGCAUAGCUGCUUUAUCAUAUAACUGGAGGCCUAGCCUCUUUUAGUAACCGGGGCAAAAGCCCUUUUUAUAACUGGGGCAUAAGCCCUUUAUCGUAACUGGGGCAUAAGCCCUUCAUCGUAACUGGGGCAUAAGCCCUUCAUCAUAACUGGGGCAUAAGCCCUUUAAUAACUGGGGCAUAAGCCCUUUAAUAACUGGGGUAUAAGCCCUUUAAUAAUUGGGGCAUAAGCCCUUUUGCACUUCCUCCAUCCAUAUAAAAACCCAAUCCAAUGCAUUUAUGAACAUCUCAUGUGCAUAUCAUACAUAUCAUGUGCAUAUCAUACAUGUCAUGUGCAUAUCAUACAUAUCAUGUUUAUCAAAAUCCCAUGCAUUAAGUUCAUAUAUAAACCCUAGGGGUAUAAUGGUCAUUUUUACCUAGGGGCAAAACGGUCAUUUUCAUGUUAUAAGGGUAAUCUUGUAAUUUUACCAGAAAUUAGGGUUUCCAUGUUCAUUAACGGUUACUAACAAUUCAUGAGUGUAAACAGUGAUUCUGGCCCAUUUUUAGCGAAAUCGAGUUAUUGGGCCUAAAACCCCUAAUGGGCCCUACUUAGCCGAUUUUGUCAUAUAGGCCCAUUUAGCCUAUAUCCAUAACAGUAUUAACAGUUCUAACAUGCAAUUUUAACAGAUUUCCAUUUUCUACCAAUUUUUCCCAAAUGGGCCCGAAAGCCUAUUGGGCCCUAGUUCAGCCUCUCGAGGCCUAACUUACCGUGAACGCCAAAAACACGUUCUUACCGUUUCCAAUGUUCCUGAUCAUCAUCUCAAUGAAUCUAACUAACUAAUGAGCGUUCGCUUGCUCACGAGUCCUCGAAAUGCCAGAAUUUUGGCAUUUCGGCUUUUCGACAUUUAUCGCUUUAAGCUUAUGAAAAGGGUUCGUUACACACCUGAUUUACGAUAUUCCUUGACGAGAUCUCCUAUGCAAUUUCUCCUAUAAUCAACCACUUAUAGAUUAGACCAUGUUAAUAUUAAACCAAAUCGAAAACUACCUAUUAUCAUCACUUACACAUUCGGCCACCAUCCACAAUGGCCCUUGGGUUCAUACCUUUGCCGAAGUUGAUGACUAGAUUUAGUCACUCCGAUGAUCCAAGCUUUUUACACACUCCUCAAUCAGUAGCCUUUAAUCCUCACUAGCACCAACAAACCAAAUAACACCAAAAACCCUUUUAGCCUUAGUCGACAGAGGGGUUUUUAGCUUUUCUUAAACCACAAGAUACAAAUGGAAAGAAGGUUCGAAUACUUACCAAGAGAUCUACUCGUUGAAGAACGUUCCAAAUACCUUCCUACCCCAUAUCCGU
rnacentral:lncRNA from 1 species